AUGUCAAAGUGCUCGCCGCUAAGUUACGAAGACGAGCAACCGCUCAUAAAAGAUACAUGCAUGCACGCUGAAUCGUUACAGGCCAUGUGCAUUUGGAAAGAUGAGAAGCGUGUUCAGGUUGAGAUGAUAAUUUCUUGUGCAUUAGAAUUUCAUGCAUUAGAAGAAAAACAAGGAAAAGAAUAUUCCAACUAUUUUGGUGAGCCACGUUUACAAGGAGGCAUCAAGGAGUCCAUGAUGGAUCUUGUGUUUGCUAACCAAGAUCAGUUGCAACGUGAGGAUCAAAUAUAUAUAUUAUUUUAUAUUCCUCUUCUUACCAUGGAAAGAGCGUGUAUGGAAUGGAUUGUUAAUACGUGA
rnacentral:rRNA from 1 species